GCCGGGUUAGCUCAGCGGUAGAGCAGCGGUUUUGUAAACCGAAGGUCGGGAGUUCAAUCCUCUCACCCUGCACCA
rnacentral:tRNA from 1 species